UAGGGAAUCUUCGGCAAUGGACGGAANUUUGGACCGAGCAACGCCGGCGUGAGUGAAGAAGGUUUUCGGAUCGUAAAGCUCUGUUGUAAGAGAAGAACGAGUGUGAGAGUGGAAAGUUCACACUGUGACGGUAUCUUACCAGAAAGGGACGGCUAACUACGUGCCAGCAGCCGCGGUAAUACGUAGGUCCCGAGCGUUGUCCGGAUUUAUUGGGCGUAAAGCGAGCGCAGGCGGUUAGAUAAGUCUGAAGUUAAAGGCUGUGGCUUAACCAUAGUAGGCUUUGGAAACUGUUUAACUUGAGUGCAAGAGGGGAGAGUGGAAUUCCAUGUGUAGCGGUGAAAUGCGUAGAUAUAUGGAGGAACACCGGUGGCGAAAGCGGCUCUCUGGCUUGUAACUGACGCUGAGGCUCGAAAGCGUGGGGAGCAAACAGGAUUAGAUACCCUGGUAGUCCACGCUGUAAACGAUGAGUGCUAGGUGUUAGACCCUUUCCGGGGUUUAGUGCCGUAGCUAACGCAUUAAGCACUCCGCCUGGGGAGUACGACCGCAAGGUGG
rnacentral:rRNA from 1 species